rnacentral:rRNA from 1 species
ACGUAUGGGGCAAGCGUUGUUCGGAGUUACUGGGCGUAAAGGGCGUGUAGGCGGCCUUGGAAGCUUGGGGGGAAAGGCCUCCGCUCAAACGGGGACAGGGCGCUGAGAACUGCGGGGCUGGAGUGUAGGAGAGGGAGCUGGAAUUCCAGGUGUAGGGGUGAAAUCUGUAGAGAUCAGGAAGAAUACCGAUGGCGAAGGCAAGCUCCUGGCCAUAGACUGACGCUGAGGCGCGAAAGCGUGGGGAGCAAACAG